rnacentral:lncRNA from 1 species
CAACCAGUCUGACUGGUUAUGCGAGGGGGCCGAUCAGAGGUACUUUCCAUUUAUCAUCUGCCACACAGUGCAAAGGGAGUAGCCUCUGAUCCUUUUGUUACUUCAGUGUGUAGAGGUGGGGUUUUCCUUUUGAUUCAGUUAUAGGAAGUCAGCACAAAUCGGCCUUAGUUUCCCGGCCUCCACACCCUAUUCUCCUGUCUCACUGUGGUUUCUUUGUUCACCUUUAUCUGUUUAAUAGCAUGUAUUCAUGCUUCUCACUGCCACUAAUAUGUGUUUUGGAUGAUGCAGCAAGCUAAAUACAAUUGCUUACAGGUCAAUUCAUUGAAAAUAUUUUCACUUCAGCCCUCUUCAAAUUAAAUAAGUGAAAUGAAAGAAUAGAUCAAUUAAUCAUUUUAGUAGCUAGGCCCUGGGUUAUUGAGGUCAGUGACCUUGGUGGGCUGAUAAAUGAAUUUGAUCCUGGGGAGGUUUCUGUUUCCCUUGUUUUAAUCAUUUAUGUGUGCCCUAUUAUUCAUAGAGAGAGGUACAGUGCUAGCACUCCAAAUUCAAGUUCAUUAAUAUUACACAACAGAUGCAGGUGUUUCCAGGACGGCUAAGUCAGAAUAGCCCUUUUCACUGGAAAGUGUGAAAGCCAAAGUAAUUGUCUUCCAACUAUGCAACAGGCACAGAAGUGCAUAUUAGGAUUACUGAAGUUGAAAUUUUUACCUGAC